AACGCGAAGAACCUUACCUGGGCUCGAAAUGCUGUGGACCAGCUUAUGAAAGUAGGCCUUCCCGCAAGGGACCGCAGUAUAGGUGCUGCAUGGCUGUCGUCAGCUCGUGUCGUGAGAUGUUGGGUUAAGUCCCGCAACGAGCGCAACCCUUGUCCUGUGUUGCCAUACCGAAAGGUGGAACUCGCAGGAGACCGCCAGGGAUAACCUGGAGGAAGGUGGGGAUGACGUCAAGUCCUCAUGGCCUUUAUGUCCAGGGCUACACACGUGCUACAAUGGACGGUACAAAGGGCUGCCAACCCGCGAGGGGGAGCCAAUCCCAAAAAACCGUUCUCAGUUCGGAUUGCAGGCUGCAACUCGCCUGCAUGAAGCUGGAAUCGCUAGUAAUGGCGGAUCAGAACGCCGCCGUGAAUACGUUCCCGGGCCUUGUA
rnacentral:rRNA from 1 species